GUGUCAGCAGCCGCGGUAAUACGUAGGUCCCGAGCGUUGUCCGGAUUUAUUGGGCGUAAAGCGAGCGCAGGCGGUUAGAUAAGUCUGAAGUUAAAGGCUGUGGCUUAACCAUAGUACGCUUUGGAAACUGUUUAACUUGAGUGCAAGAGGGGAGAGUGGAAUUCCAUGUGUAGCGGUGAAAUGCGUAGAUAUAUGGAGGAACACCGGUGGCGAAAGCGGCUCUCUGGCUUGUAACUGACGCUGAGGCUCGAAAGCGUGGGGAGCAAACAGGAUUAGAUACCCCCGUAGUCC
rnacentral:rRNA from 1 species